rnacentral:lncRNA from 1 species
UUUUUCUCAAAACAUUAAAAACUCUCUGUCAGUUAAAAUAUAUAGGGAAAUGAAAUACUAAAAACUACUAAAACUAUUGUUUAUUUAGAACACAGUAAUUUGAAACACUAGAAAAAUAGUGUUUUGUUUCUUUGUAAAAAAUAAAACACGUAUGAAGAGUGCUUUGAACAGUUCUUGCCUUUUUAAAAUUGCCAUAUAAUUUACAAUAAUGAGCAAGCCUCUUUCCUAUAUACCUUGGUGAAUUAUUAUACUUCUAUUUAAAUUUGCAUCAACUUCCACCAUUUAAUGUUUGUACUUUCAACAUCAUGAAAUACUUCUGACUGUCUUUAAUGUGCAGUUAAUUUCUCUGUAAUUUCCUCUGGGGCAUCUUCAUCCUUUUUAGUGCAACUACUUUCUUCAUUUUUGUUGGUAAGUCCAUCUGAACACAGUCCUUCUGGCUACAAAUCUAGAGUCUCUUGAAGUAUGGUAGCACUUACAUUGCCACGGAUAAGUAUUUCUUCUAUAACUCCAUUUACAUUUGAUUUGCAUUUCACUUCCACCAUUAUUAUCAUUUUGGUUUUUUUUUUUUGCCACACUUUCAUCUUUAUGGGUCAAUUUCUUCUUUCAAUUAUCCAUUUUUGUGAAAUGUCAUAUGUAUUUGUCACUAAGAGACAAGGAGUCAACACAACUGCAUACUUUGCUGGGAAUAAGAGAUGUGCUAUGAUGAGUCACUGACAAGCUCUGAAAGAAGUCACAUGAUUGAUCAUUGAUUAUGAUGAGCAGCUAUUAUUUUUGUAGAGAUUUAUGAGCUGAAGAGCUAGUAUUACUCAGUUAAUAUAUUGUGGUAACUGAAAUUUGAACCAUGUUGUCGGUGAGCUGGCAUUGUUUAACUAAACUGUGGUAACUGAAAUUCAAGCCUAUCAACCACAAAGUGAGGAUUCCCUAUAUAAUGAAGACAGAGACAGAGACAAUAGGAUUUUUUGGAAGGUGGGAUAUGGAGUAUAGUAGCAUGUCACAGAUGCAGUUUUACAUUUGCUGGUGAUAUUGAUUAUCUAAUACUGACUGUCCCUCCUGAUAGCAAGCUCCGUGAAGGCAAGGACCACACUUCUCUUUGUUCACCAUUACACAGUUGAUGUUGCACUUUCCCAAAUAGCAUGUCUUUAAGUUUUGCAACAACCCCAAGCAGCAGGCAUCAUCUCGUUUUGCAGAUGAAGAAACUGAAGCUCAGAGAAGUUAAGUAACUUAGAACCAUUUUACACAACUAGUGAGUGACAGAUUGGAACUCAAAUUAUAUUUUCUGAAGUCCAAUCCUCUUUCCUUUGAACCACCUACUCCUCCCUAAUAAAAAUAUAGUCCUAUAAAGUUUUGCUCUGGAAACCAUAGCACCAUGUUUCCUAUGCCAUAAUCAACUAUCAUAUGAAAGCUGUAGAAUAUAAAUGACAGCAGAAAUAAGACAAACACAGUGUAUUUGAGUCUCCUGUCUGUUUAAAUAUCCUACAAGUUUCCAUUUAAAUUCUGUUCUUAACCUCAUGACAAGGAUUUAUAAAAAGACAAAAUCUGGCAACUACAUUGACUGAAGGCAAAAGAGCACAUCCUACUCUUCAAGGGAUUUCCAAUCUCUCUGCAAACAAUAAGGAUGAGUUAAGAAGUACAUUCCUGACUUCCUCAGACUUUAAUCUGUGAAUCAGAACAUUAAGAACAGGUACCUGAAAGGUAGAAAAGGUUUUGACUUACAUCACCUAGCACACCCAACCCAAAGGUGUCUGGGUGCAUUUACCAGAAAUCCACCUCUAUUCUCCAAAGCAAUUAUUUUCUAAUCAGUCAACAUCUUUCUCUUCCUUCACCACUUCCAAGGCUUUUCUUUUUCCAUUUGCAUCCAGAUACCAUUCCUCUCAAGAUUCAACAGUAACACUAAUCAAAUGCACAGUGCAAUUUAAGACAAACUUGUCGAUCCCCGCAUAAUGACUAAAGAGACUAUUGUCUUGGCUAUUUUAACAUCCAAGUUAGUCUGUCAGAAUGUAAAAUCACUGCUUUGUUACUAGCAUAUUAUUAUUUUAGCAAGGAAGAUGCUUAGCAGACAUAACCACUCCAAUUAAGGGACACUUUCACUCCUUACUUUUUCAUUCUGAUAUCACAUAAAUUUUUUACAAGUAUAUAUUACUUUUAGAACUAACAAUAAUUUUUAAGUGUCAUAACUGAUUUAACUUUUAAAGACAUGAAAAUAGCUCUUAAAUGAUUAUUAUACAAUAGCCUAAAUAAUUCAAUUAAAUAUAUGUAUAAUAUUGAAUACUAAAAGAUCUGAUAGGAAAAGAGAUGUGACAAUAUCCUGGACAACCGGGAACUGAGAAUAAGAUUAUAAUGUAACACAAAUAUCUCUUCCCUUACAGUCAUUUUAUAAUAAAUACUCAAUCAAAAUUAGAACUUUAUGUAAAAUGAAACAAAUUGAUAACACCUCUGGUUGAAGAAAAAAUAAGAUACUUUUGACUUGGGGAAAAUUUCCCCUAUUCAUAUGAUCAAUAGGAGUUAAGAAAUGCAUUUCUGAAUUAUUCACACUCUGCUUCGGGAAUUGUAAUCAACAACACUACCAAAAGCAGAAGAUUCCUUUAAAUUUUCCAACGGAAAAAUACGUGCCAUCAUUAAGCUGAUAAAUGCACGUAUUAUUUAAAAUUAAAUGAGCAUGAUUACUGCUACUUUAACAAAGAAAUGAGAGGAUUUGAUAUGCAUAUUAUGUAAGACACUAGAAAAUAAGCAAAUAUUUUGCUUAGACUGGUUCUGAAAAAAAAAAGUUGUUAUUGAGUAGACAUAUGAGUCUGGGUUUGGUACGAUUUUUUUCUGCACGUUGUCUGACACCCACCUCAUCGCCUACUAUAUGUGCCAACCCUAGCCCGUCCCAACCUCCCUUAUCCUCAGACUUAAUUUUUAUCAAUCUCAUGUCUUUCCCAGAAGUUGACAUGCUCUGGUCCAAGGUACGGAUGUCCAUUUCAAAUAUCACUUACCAAUUUUCCUUGGAAAUCAAGAUUUUAAUUGUUUCUUUGUUUAUGCAACAUCAAAAAUGAUCCUGCAGUCAAAAUAUCUAUGUCAGUUAUGCAGAUAAAAUGGAAGAUUGAACAUAUGCCUAUAAUUUUUCUCCUUUCCACUAAAAAUGGCAAUAAAGGGAUUUUUGCUUUUAAAGACCUAAAUCUCAAAGUAUUAGUAGAGCAGAAGAGGAUACAACUUCAACUACAUUUGUGGAAAGGGGAAGCAGAUGAACCAGUGGUAACUAACAGGAAACUGGAAGAAGAUGAAUCCUAAUCCAGUAAUGUGGGAAGCCUGAAUGUGUUCACAGACUCCUCCAAAGGCUCAGAUAUCAGGACUAAGUGCUCCCAGAAAUGGGGUACUAACAUAAGGAAAAUUGGUUAAGAGCAGUUUAAGGAACAAACACCAAAUCCCCUCUUCUACUCUGUGAAGUUGGGCAAAUUCUCCCCCAUCACCAGGCAGAACACCAGGAGUUUAUUCUGCGGAUAUUAAUCUUAGGUUGAUACUCUUAAACAUAAGUGAGCUACCAAGAUCCACAGACAGCAGAGAAAACCUUAUAAUGUGAAUAAUUGAAACCAAAAAGAGAAAGAAAAAAAAAAAAAAAACAUGCAAAGGAAACAAAGACUGCAGGGGGGAAAAAAAACUUGAGAAAAACACAAUAAUCCUAGAGAAAGAAGAGCAUUGAUAAGAUGCUAUAAAAAGGAGCAUUCAAAGAACAAAAGAAAGAGUAUGGAAUUGAAAACAUGAGAGCAUUAAUUUUUUUAACUUAAUAGAUUUACUAGGAAAUAAAAUUUAGAAAAAAGUUAGAAAAAUCUCCCAGAAAGCAGAGGAAAGAAAAACAGAGAAGAGAGAAAAAAAAUAAGGAAGCUUGCAUGUUUAAAGUCGUAAUUAAAUUCAUAUGCUUUAAAAUUUCAAAUUGUGCUAAAAGGUUUAUAACAUAAAAUAAUCUAUUUCCCACCCACUUUUUUCUACUCCCAGGUUGGUAAUUUCAGAAGCAGUCACUUUGAUUCUUUCGGCUGUUUCUUUUGACAUUUAUCUAACUUUAUAUGUUUAAAUAGUAUGUGUAUUUGCUAUUCUUAGAUACAUGAAUGUUGAGCAUUAUCUAAUUACUUCCUAUUAUGGUAGUUUAGCAUUUUACUCUCUUAGGCUCCCAUUGCCUCUACUUUCCCUCCUCUAUGAUUCCAAUUCAGUUGUAGUCAUUUUUUGAUUAAAUCAAUAUUCAGUUAAGUCUGUGUAAAUAUUACUCACAGCUGAGCACUGUACUAUGAUUACACUUCCUUUCUUAUAUUUUCACCAAAGUUAAUUAUUACCAUCUUUUUUUGAUUGAGGUACAAGUUAUACACCAUAAAAUGCGCCCAUCAUAAGUAUACAAUUCAGUGAACUUUGGUAAAUGUACAGAGUAAUGCAACUACCAUCACAAACCAGCUUUGAAACAUUUCCAUCACCCCAAAAAAGCUCCCUUGUGCCUGUUUGCAGUCAAUCUUCACUUCCACUCCCAGCCCCAGGCAACCACUCAUCUGUUUUCUGUCUCUAUAAAUUUGCCUUUUCUGGAAACUUCAUAUAAAUGGAAUCAUGCAAUACAUAGUCUCUUGCAUCUGGCUUCUUUCACUUAGCAUAAUAUUUUGAGAUUCAUUAUGUCAUAGCAUGUAUCUGUAGUCUGUAUCUUUUUAUUGAUGAAUUGUAUUCUACUUUAUAGAUAUACAACACUUUGUUAAUCCUUUCAC